rnacentral:rRNA from 1 species
GUUGAUCAUGGCUCAGGAUGAACGCUAGCGGAGGCCUAACACAUGCAAGUCGAACGGGAUUGGGAGCUUGCUCCCAUGAGAGUGGCGCACGGGUGAGUAACGCGUAUGCAACCUGCCUUUAACAGAGGGAUAGCCCAUAGAAAUGUGGAUUAAUACCUCAUAGUUCUUUUGUUCCGCAUGGGACAGAAGAUAAAGCUCCGGCGGUUAAAGAUGGGCAUGCGUGACAUUAGUUAGUUGGUGAGGUAACGGCUCACCAAGACUACGAUGUCUAGGGGUUCUGAGAGGAUGAUCCCCCACACUGGUACUGAGACACGGACCAGACUCCUACGGGAGGCAGCAGUGAGGAAUAUUGGUCAAUGGGCGCAAGCCUGAACCAGCCAUCCCGCGUGCAGGAUGACGGCCCUAUGGGUUGUAAACUGCUUUUAUACACCAAGAAAAAUCCCCACGAGUGGGGACCCGACGGUAGUGUAUGAAUAAGCAUCGGCUAACUCCGUGCCAGCAGCCGCGGUAAUACGGAGGAUGCGAGCGUUAUCCGGAUUCAUUGGGUUUAAAGGGUGCGUAGGCGGCUUUUUAAGUCAGUGGUGAAAUCCUGCCGCUUAACGGUAGAAUUGCCAUUGAUACUGAAGAGCUUGAGUACAAUUGAGGUAAGCGGAAUGUGUAGUGUAGCGGUGAAAUGCUUAGAUAUUACACAGAACACCGAUUGCGAAGGCAGCUUACUAAACUGUCACUGACGCUGAUGCACGAAAGCGUGGGGAGCGAACAGGAUUAGAUACCCUGGUAGUCCACGCCGUAAACGAUG